AUGAGUCCCAUCAAAGGCCACGACUCAAAUGAUGAAGAAGUCGUUGGCAUCAUGAAAAAUAUGCUUUUCAACAUCAUUCAUGGCGUUCCCGUCAACUUCCAUGAUUUCUUCAUGAGGACUCUGGCCAAUAUUGCUAUGUCACCAUUCGAGCUGAAGCCCUAUGCUCCUUGGAUUAUGAGAUUCAUCAGGGCAAGAUCUUCACUGAAUUACAAAGCUGACACUCUGAACCACGGUAGCUACUUGCCUCCCAUUGAAGUCCUCAAACGGACUGUUUCAUCAGCUGAUGAUAAAGGCAAGGCCGCUGCUGUGAUCGAUGAAGGCAUUCGUCCAUUGGAUGGUCAAUUUCGCAAGGCUGCCUCUUACUCUACCAAUGACGAUUCCGCCACACAUGACUCUGCCGCAAAUACCUCAGCAAAGCAAAAUCCUCAAGCCACAGCACCCAGGGUGAUGACUGACCGUGAAUUACUCCUCAGUCUUCAUCAGAAGGUUGAUCGCAAUCAUAAAUGGGUCAAGCGUCAGUUUGGUUCAAUUCUUCACAACAUGACCUCAACACACAAUGUAGUGAAGAAAAACCAAUACUACCUCCAUGAAACCUUCAAUCGUACCUGGGUUGUUCUCUCUCAUGUCUACAGCGCUGCAGAUCUGAAGAAUAUGGGUCUCAAGGAAGAAUUUGACUAG
rnacentral:rRNA from 1 species